AUUGAACGCUGGCGGCAGGCCUAACACAUGCAAGUCGAACGAGUGGCGGACGGGUGAGUAAUGUCUGGGAAACUGCCCGAUGGAGGGGGAUAACUACUGGAAACGGUAGCUAAUACCGCAUACCAUCGGAUGUGCCCAGAUGGGAUUAGCUAGUAGGUGGGGUAACGGCUCACCUAGGCGACGAUCCCUAGCUGGUCUGAGAGGAUGACCAGCCACACGGGAACGGGGACACGGUCCAGACUCCUAGGGAGGGCAGCAGUGGGGAAAUUUGCAGAAUGGGCGCAGGCCUGAUGAAGCCAGGCGGGGUGUAUGAAGAAGGCCUUCGGGUUGUAAAGUACUUUCAGCGAGGAGACGUUACUCGCAGAAGAAGCACCGGCUAACUCCGUGCCAGCAGCCGCGGUAAUUC
rnacentral:rRNA from 1 species